UCCCCCCCCCCCACCACAGUAGCUCCUAGUGUAUCUCUUUCUGGUCAUUAUAUUAUUAUUGUUAUUAUAUUCACUUUGUUCUCAAUCCUUCUGGUUCUACUGCUGAGAUUCCUUAUAAAGAGUAAAUCUGAUGGUAACAAAGUGAUAAAAGGAGAAGCGAACAUCACCUACAGUCACCUGGAAAUCCUCCCUAACCAGCAGCAGCCAAUCAGAGGCAGCAGAGAGCUGAAACCUUGAUGUCUUCGUCUCAGUCAAUUAGCCCUUUAAUCCGACCACACGAUGGAUUUUAGCAUCUCAGCCUCCAGCCUGACCAUCCAGUAGAUAGAAACCUCUCUGUUCAUUUAAAAUGUUCAAACCUUUUAAAUGUUUAUAUUCAAGAUCUAUCGUCAUUUACUGUACAUUUCGAAGGGCUGCACGCCUUUUUAAUAUAUUCUGAAUUUUCCCUUGAUGCUGACUAUGUUUUUAAGUUCCUUUAACUAUAAAACCUACAAAAGUUAUAACUAUUAAA